GCUGCCCCUAGAGACGCUGCAGGUGUGGCUGCUGUGUCUCGUUGUGCCAGUAGGUGGCAGAAAGGAGCGAGGCUAGGUCUAUGCUCGCUGUUCUGACCUAUGAACAGCUGAAGGAUUCGUAGUCAAAAACUCC
ensembl:snoRNA Gm23596 predicted gene, 23596